UCUAUUGUGGCAGAUUAGUGCAAUGAACUUAAGAUUCAUAAAUAAAGUUUCCUUUCCUUAGAA
rnacentral:tRNA from 1 species